rnacentral:tRNA from 1 species
GCCUGGGUGGCUCAGUCGGUUGGGCGUCUGACUUCAGCUCAGGUCACGAUCUCGCGGUCCGUGAGUUUGAGCCCCGCAUCGGGCU